CGGCAGAGCCCCUCGGAGCGCCGCGUGCCUCCCGGAGGACGGCGAGAGCCGCAGCCCCGGCGGCUGCUGGGCCGCGGAGGCGGAUUCAAGCUUUUAGGUAUGAAAACAGUGUUCAAAUAAAGCUGCUAGAGGUACUUUCAAACACUGCCAAAAACAAAGAUGACAUGAUGAUAGUCUAAUAGACUUACAGCCAGCACCUGACAACAUUUGGAAACCAGCUCCGUGGAAGUUGUGAGGCACCCAGAGAGCACAAACUUCUAUCUUUUAUCUCAUGGAUCCAAUGUAACUGUUACCGAAGAACUCAGGAACUUGGCAGGUUCGCAGCUAGUCCAUAUGGCAGUCGAGGAGAAGACAUCCUGCCCUAAAGACACUUGAGCACUCUCUGCCAGGAAAUUGUCUCCAUUGUGAAUGGUGCCCCCUGGUUGUAAACAACUGCACUACUGUAUAUGGCAGCUCAGCAGAGCAAAAUUCUUGUGGCAACGAUGUUGAUGGGAAAGAUGCUUACAAUGAAAGUACCUGGAACCUAUAUUCUGAAUAAGUCCUAGCACUACUACUUUUUAGCUCCAACGACCUUUUUAUGGGAUUGAAAUUGUUAGUUUUAUGGGCCAAAAUGACAAGUGAAAGAAAACUUCUGGCUCCAAGGCAUAAGACCCAUUCAAGUUGAAAAAAACAAAGCUGGUUCUUGCUUUUAUAGCUAUGUUUGCUUUCAUAAAGUAUGAUGCCACAUUUUUAAAUCAUAAUAUUAUUAGCAUGUGAAUAAAUGGAAAGACUUCUAGAAAUACUUUGUCUUUUCUCUCCUUCUUCUUUCCCUCCUCCUUUUUUUUUAUCCUUAAUUUUUUCCUUAUCUUCCAUAUUCUCUUGA